ACUACUAACGAGUCCCAAAUAGGACGAAGCGCGCGUCCUGGAU
rnacentral:hammerhead_ribozyme from 1 species